rnacentral:rRNA from 1 species
UACGAAGGGGGCUAGCGUUGUUCGGAAUUACUGGGCGUAAAGGGCUCGUAGGCGGCCAACUAAGUCAGCCGUGAAAUCCCCAGGCUUAACCUGGGAACUGCGUCGGAUACUGGAUGGCUUGAAUUCGGGAGAGGGAUGCAGAAUUCCAGGUGUAGCGGUGAAAUGCGUAGAUAUCUGGAGGAAUACCGGUGGCGAAGGCGGCAUCCUGGACCGACAUUGACGCUGAAUGGCGAAAGCUAGGGGAGCAAACGGG